UACGUAGGGUGCGAGCGUUGUCCGGAAUUAUUGGGCGUAAAGAGCUCGUAGGCGGUUUGUCGCGUCUGCCGUGAAAGUCCGGGGCUCAACUCCGGAUCUGCGGUGGGUACGGGCAGACUAGAGUGAUGUAGGGGAGACUGGAAUUCCUGGUGUAGCGGCGAAAUGCGCAGAUAUCAGGAGGAACACCGAUGGCGAAGGCAGGUCUCUGGGCAUUAACUGACGCUGAGGAGCGAAAGCAUGGGGAGCGAACAGG
rnacentral:rRNA from 1 species